UAAACUAGGAUUAGAUACCCUAUUAUUUUAAAUGUAAAAUAAAAAUACUGAAGUAGUAAUAGUUAUGUUCUUUAAAUUUAAAGAUUUUGGCGGUAUUUUAGUCUAUUCAGAGGAACCUGUUCUGUAAUUGAUAGUCCACGAUUAACUUUACUUAAUUUAAAAAUUUGUAUAUCGUCGUUUUUAAUAAUUUUAUAAGAAUUUAAAUUUUUAAGAUUUUUCAUUAAAAAAUAUAUCAGAUCAAGGUGCAGUUUAUAGUUAAGUAGAAAUGGGUUACAAUAAAUUUAUUUAUACGGAUGAGUAUAUUAAAAUGUUAUUUUGAAGGAGGAUUUGAUAGUAAUAAAGUUAAUUUAAAUUUUAUGAUUUUAGCUCUAAAAUAUGUACAUAUCGCCCGUCGCUCUUAUUAUAAAAUAAGAUAAGUCGUAACAUAGUAGAUGUACUGGAAAGUGUAUCUAGAAUGAUCAAAUUAGAGCUUGAAUUAGUAAAGCAUUUUAUUUACACUAAAAAGUUGUCGUGCGAAUCGAUUUAAUGAUAGAAAAUUAUUAUUAGUAUAAAAAGUUUUAUUUUAAUUUAAUAAAAAUAAUUUUAAUUUUAUGAAGUUUUAGUAAUGUUUAAAGAAAAAAUUUAUAUAAUUAUAGUAAAUUAGUAUUGUAAAAGAAUUUUGAAAUAAAAAUUUAUAAAAUAAUAGUAAUAUUAAUUUUGUGUACCUUGUGUAUCAGGGUUUAUUAAAUAAAUAUUAUAAAUAUUAAUUUUCCCGAGUUUAAGAGAGAGAAUAUAAUAUAUUUUUUAUUGUGAAAAAAAUAUUUAAAAUAUUAUAUUAGUAAUGAAAUGUUAUUCGUUCUUAAAUAUAUCUGGUUUAUUUAGAAAUGAAUUUAAUUCAAUUUAUUUAAUUUAAAUAUUUUAUUUUUUUAAUUUAUUUAAUUAAAUAAGUAAUAAUUAAAGGGAUUAGCUUUUAAUUAAAAUUUUAUAAAUAAAAUUUUUAUUUUUUAAAAAAUGUAAGUUUAGAAAUAUCUAUCAUUAAUAAUUUGUUAUAAUUAAUUUAAUAAAAAAUAUUAUUUUAUAUUAUUUUAAAUUUUUUAUAAAUAAAUAAUUUAUAAUAAUGAAAAUUUAGUUAUAAUGAUAAAAUUAGUAUAUAUAAAUGUUUAAAUAAUAAUAUAUGAAAGAUUAUUUAAAGGAAUUCGGCAAAAAUUUUACUCGCCUGUUUAACAAAAACAUGUCCUUUAGUUUAUUUAUUUAAGGUCUGGCCUGCCCACUGAAAUUAUUUGAAGGGCCGCAGUAAUUUGACUGUGCAAAGGUAGCAUAAUCAUUAGUUUUUUAAUUGAAAGCUUGUAUGAAGGGUCGGACGAGGUAAAUUCUGUCUCUAUUUAAUUUAUUAUAAAAUUUAAUUUUUAAGUUAAAAAGCUUAAAUGUAUUUAAAAGACGAGAAGACCCUAUAGAUCUUUAUAUUAAGUUUAUUAAUUUUAAUGUAGAAUUUUUUCUUUAUUAUUAAUUUUAGUAUUUUAUUGGGGUAAUAAAAAGAUUAAUAUAAUUCUUUUUGAAAUUUUUCAUUAAUUUAUGUUUAUUUGAUCCAAUUUUUUUGAUUAAAAGAUUAAGUUACCUUAGGGAUAACAGCGUAAUUUUUUUAGAGAGUUCAUAUCGAUAAAAAAGUUUGCGACCUCGAUGUUGGAUUAAAAAUUAUCUUAGGUGCAGAAGUUUAAGAUUUUGGUCUGUUCGACCAUUAAAUUUUUACAUGAUCUGAGUUCAAAACCGGAGA
rnacentral:rRNA from 1 species